rnacentral:lncRNA from 1 species
UUCGGGUGAAUGGAUUUUUUUUUUUUUCUGUUGUGAAAGAUAGUUAGAGCACUUAGAUGAGCUGGUGUGAUAUAUUUCAUAUAUAAGUAUGUUUUACCUGCUGUUCAUUGUGCACAUGUUCUUUGUGUAAUUUGAGUGCUUUUCUCAACUUGGCUAUCCAUGUUGACCACAAAAAAUUUUGGCCUACUUUGACAAGAACAUCAAUGAAUUAUCAUUGAUGUCAUUUUUUUUUAUUGUACUUAAGAAUGUUUUCCUAAUUUUAACUAAAAAAAUUGCAGGUCAUCAUUUUUGUAAAUUUGUUUAAUGCAUACUUAAUUAAAUUUUAGAGGGGAUGAAAUCAAAAUAAUUUUCAAUCGAUGUCUAAUUAAAGGUUUUUCAAAAAGUUUACAUCUUGGGUUUUUUUGUAAUAUUUUUAACAUCAAUACUGAUGUAAUCAUUAUAUCAGUGCAUUAAAUAAUAAAUAAUACGAGAAUCUUAUACGACUCUGAUUAUAAAUGAAACUAUACAGCAUUUUCAGAUUUUCAGGUUCAACUUCUGAAAAUACUUUGUUUUUUGUAAGAUAAUGGUUUAAACUAUGUUCUAAGGAUUCCACUAGUCUGAGAGAUUGCAUUUUCUGCGUAGUUUCUUUUCCGAGCUACCAAAACUUUCACAUCUUUCUUAUAAAUUACUGUCCGCAUUAAUUGUAUAUAUUUUUAAUUUUAGAUUCAAAUUAUUGAAUAACAUAUUAUAUCAGUAAUUUACAAAGAAAUAAGUAAUUUUAGAUUCAAAAUGUUGAAUAUGAGAAUAUAUAUUAAUAUUAUUAUAUCAAUACCAAGAAAUAAGUAAUAAAAUUAACAUAAAUAUUAUAACCCAAGUUGUAAGUUACGGGGUCUUGCAAUAACUGUACCAUUUCAUAAAAAAUUAAUAAUGCAUCCUUUCCUGUCAUAUUUUUUUUUAUAAAUAUUAUUUUAUUUUAAUUCAAAAUUGUACACAUGGGAUGGAUCGGGCUUGAACCUUACACCUGAGUCAGUUGUCAGCGUCUUUCAUAGGCUAGCAUGGCAAAAGUCCAACCAAUGCAACAUCAACGUUCAAACGGGCUUUUUCUCACCAAUAUAAGACAGCUACGCAUACUCUCCCCCCACUCCCAACAAAAAAUAUCGUAUAUAUAUAUAUAUAUAUAUAUAUGAACAAGAAAUGGGUUAUCAUUCAACUAUCAUGAAAGUAAGUGUUAACAAAUAUACACGAACGUUUGAAGAGCUACUGACAAAUCCAUUUGACAUUACAAGAAAAUAGCAUAUUAACGGUAGUUUUGUAACGGAUUUUCAUUUACAAACAUUACUAAUUUUCGUAUUUUUAUAAAAUUUAAGGUGUUUAUUAUCAAAACGUCACUAAAUAUUCAAAUAGCGACGUUAUUACUUAUAAACGUCACUAAAAACAAAAACUAACGGUAUUUAUCAACUAAAACGCAUUAAAUAAUUUUUUCGAAAAAAUUAGAGUGAUUAUUAAAGGCAUUUUUAUGCAGAAAACGUAUUAAAUAAUCAUCUCAUAAAAAAUAGAAGCAAUUAUUGAAGGUAUUUUCUACUGAAAAUACAUUCAAUAAUUUCCCUAAAAAUUGUAAAAAAUUAUUAAAGGUAUUUUUUGACAAAAAACGCCUUUAAGAAUCUUUUUUCAUUUUUUAUAAGGGGAGUUUCAUUUUUUAUAAGAGGAUUAUUAAAGGUGUUUUGUACAAAAAACGCCUUUAAUAAUCCUCUCUAAUUUUUUAUAAGGGAUUAUUGAAGGCGUUUAGGCAAAAAACACCUUGAAUAAUCUGCUCAUAAAAAAUAAAAGUGAUUAUUGAAGGUGUUUCUAUAAAAAAAAGCCUUCAAUAAUUUUCUUAAAAAAUUAUAGAAGAUUAUUAAAGGCGUUUUUAGUUAAGAACGCCUUCAAUAAAUCUCUUUGUUGAUAAAUUUAUUAAAAAUGGAAUAGCAUUGUUGGUUGAGUAUAAAGUCAUUAACUAUAAGUUUGUAGGUUCGAUUCUUUUCUAUAGUAUUUUAUGGAUUUUUUAAGGGAUUAUUGAAGGCGUUUCUGGCUAGAAACGCCUUUAAUAAUCUUUCAAAAAACUUAAAAAAUGCUGAAGAGACGAAUUGAACUUACAACCUUAUGACUAACAACCAUAUGUUCUAAUUGAUAAUGCUACUCCAUUUUUGACAGAUUAAUUGACAAAAAGAUUUAUUGAAGGCGUUUUUGGUCAAAAACACCUUCAAUAAUCGUUUCUAUUUUUUAUGAGCAGAUUAUUCAAGGCGUUUUUUGCUUGAACGCCUUCAAUAAUCUCUUAUAAAAAAUUGCAAGAGAUUAUUGAAGGCGUUUUAUGCAUAAAACACCUUCAAUAAUCCCCUCAUAACAAAUUAAGGCGUUUUUGCAUAAGUGGUGUUUUAUGCAUAAAACACCUUCAAUAAUCCCCUUAUUGAAGGCGUUUUUUAGUCAAAAAAUGAUAGGCCUAAAAUUUUUUUCCAAAAUUUAAACCCUUUCUUUCUUCUUUGUAAUUUCCUUUCUUUCCCCAGCUUUUUUCUUGAAAAAAAAUGGUGAAAAAGAAAAUUCAAAUCAAGAAGAUUGACAACGUAGUAACGGGGCAAGUGACUUUCUGAAAGAGGAGAUAAGGACUUUUCAAGAAAGUUCAUAAGCUUUCCACUCUUUGCGAUGCUGAGAUAGCUCUUCUAAUCUUUUCACCACUGGAAAAGUGCUUUGAGUACUCCAACACAAGGUUGCUCUCACUUAUCUCAUAUCUACAUGUGAAUGCUUUGCCUUGAUUCCUGCUCUAUCUCUGCUGGUUUAAUAUAGAAAUCUUUGCAUGCUGUUUGAUUUAAUGCGUUGAAUGUAUUUGGGUGAGUGUGAGAGGAAGUGAGAAACGUAAUUAUUUUGAAAGAAAAUCUUUUAAAUCAAGAGAACUGUAUAAAAGUAUAAAUUCAUGAUAACUGAAUGUACUUGAAUAUUGUAUUCUAUUACAAAAAGAACUUCUUUUAAUAAUUUAUCAGAAGUUGAGGGGUUUUGGGGUGGGAUGCCAUGGUUUCACAUGAAUAUCUUUAUGAUAUUUGUUGAUGCUUAUUCGUACUUUCCUGAACCUUGUUUAAGCCAUAUUUUAUGACUAAUCAGCUGUCUUAUAAGAAGUUUAUUCUUUCCAUAUAUCUUUCCUGGUGCAACUUAGAGCACAAACUGAUAUUUUACCUUUCAUUUUGCUUAUUAGAACUUGAUCUGCUGUCAUUUUCAUUUUCUCUCCAAUCAAAUAGCUUUUAAUUUCAGUUUUCUUAAUUAAAUCUUGUUAGUACACGCUUUUUGAAUGUUCUUUAAGAUUUUCAUAAUGAAAUUUACAAAUUCUCAUGAUUUCCUUUUCAAAUUCUGUAAAUUUCACGUUGAACUCAAAUAUGGUUUCAAAAUCGCACACUUGACCUAUCUUCAGUCUUUUGAUCAAAAUUUAGUGAAUUCUACCUUGAUUUAUUUAAAAUUUUUUUCCUAGAUUCCUAGUUCAUGAGGCUAUAAUCCAUUAAAAAUUCAGCCUUAAAUUCCAUCUGUACAUGUACAGUUAAAUCUUCAAAUUUAAGGCUGAAUCCAAAAGGCAGAAAUGAUCCAUGCAUGAGAACUUGAUGAAUGAUGAUCCUCUCUCCUUCUAGUUAUUCAAUUUGAUUCUCUCAUACCUUACAUUCUUAAUUUUACAUGUUUACUCAUUAUUUUUUAAUUGAUUGCAUUUAUUUUCAUGCAUUCAUUUGGUGUUUGGAUGGAUUUAGUUGUUAAUGCUCUAUUUUUCUUUGUUUUAAGUAUCACUUCAGUUACUAGUUCAUUAAGCUGGUUUUUCUCUAUUUUGCUGCCAUUUUCUUGUUGAAUUUUAUAGCAAACUUGAUUGAUGAAUUGUAGUAGUUGAAAGGUGCAUACUGUAGACCUAUUAACUUGGAUUGGUCCUUUAUACUUUUUCCAAUUACUUUCUAAUUAUUCCAUGAUACAGUUUUUGCUGCUGCUAAGUCUAAAAAAGCAUUGAUCUCUAUAGACACAGUUGUACCAUCAGUUCAAGGUACAACAUAGUUAAUUUAUCCAUUACACAAUUUGUAUUUCCCUCUUAAAACUCUGUUACGUGGUCAUUUUAUUUUGAAACAUUGGUUUAUUUCCCUCUUGAAGCAUUUGAAUCCAUUUAUUUCUAUGAAUUUAUUUACGAGCUGAAAAUAUGAUUUGAAAUAGUUUAUCUAAUAAACUUCAUGGAAUAAAAUAAUCUUUAUCUUUUUCCACUGCAAUCAAACAUGAACUUGAUUGAAAAUCUAUCUCUUAGCCUUUCAUAUAUUCUCCUUCCCUCAAAUUAUAUGGCACUGCAUUUCAAGUCUAGCAAUUUCAUAAUGAUAUAUGCAAAGUGGAAGAACUAUGAUUAUGAAAGGCAUUUUCAUUCAAUGCACUCAGAGAAUGAGUGUACAUCCUUUUGCCUUGUGUAUUUAUCUUAAUCAUUGGCCAAAAAAUAUAUCUUAGUUUGUUGCUUUGGUUAAAUCUGUUUCUUUGUUAUUUCUGCAUGUAUGUAGCAAUGAAAUCUUGUAUAUCUUUCUUGAUUUUAUCUUGCAUUACAAAUUUUAUGGUACUUUUUAUAGCUUACCCAAUGACAUUUUUCAAUCAGGAUGGAACAUGAAGUUCUGGCGAAGAUAAAUGAAAUGUACUAUGAUGCCUUUCUAUCACCACAUUUUGAGGUUCCUGAAAAAAUGUUCUCUUUAGCAAUGAAAGCCAAAAGGAGGAAUGGGUGUUGUAGGCUCCAUUCAAAGCAAGUGCGACUCUUUCCAUGGAGUCCGUUAUGGGCAAGAGGAAAACAAAUGCAAAGUGGAAUGUUAUUGUAUGUAUUAAAUUUUGUGUUACAUGUAUAUUGGAACAAAUUAUAUAUUUAGAUAUUUAAUAUUUAUAAUAUUCAGUUUAUGAAUUUAAAUUCAUUUUAAUUUCUUUUAACAAUUUUUAUUUAAUUAUAAUAAAUAUUAAAAGAAAAUUAAAAAAAUAAAAUUUUUUAUUUAGCGGUAUUUGUAUUUAAAAAUGCCAUUAAAUACUGAAUUUAGUGACGUUUGUAUUAGAAAACACCAUUAAAUUUAGUGGCGUUUUUACUACAAAUGUCACUAUUUUUAAUAUUUAGCGGUAUUUUAAAACACAAACGCCGUUAAAUUAGCAGCAUUUUUUUAUACAAACUCCACCAAUUUAACGGUAUUUUUAUGAUAAAAACGUCACUAAAUUAACGGCGUCUCAAAGAUACAAAUGCCACUAAUAUAGCGAUAUUUUUUCAGAUCAAGCGUUGUUAAUAUAACAACGUUUUCCAGAUACAAACGCCACUAAUAUGCAUUAUAUGAGCUCUACACCCAGGUUUCAUCUCUCUUACGAGGGUAUAAAGUACCUACAUUCUCAUGAAAUGAUAUUCUCUACAAUGGCUAGUAAAAUACUCUUUCUCAAAUUGAAUCUUUUCCAUUGGUAGCCUUUGUUGGACAAGGAUUUGGGGGCUUUACUAGUUUGUGAUAGACAUUGAUAUAAGGAACAAUUUGGAAACCUAUAGAGUCAAUCCCAAACCACAUGUAGUGAACUGUAAUGGACUUAACCAUAGGUAGAUUCAGGUCCUUAUGUAGAAAUGAUCCAAAAUUAGGUCAUAUACUUUUGUUACAUGUGAUUUGUGCACUAAGAUGUUUAUCUUUUUCUUUUUUCAUAUUGAAUGCUAACUCUAUUUUUAUUUGUUACUUUCUGUUUGCAAGAGUCAUAUUUAGGUUCAUAGUUAUUUUAUUUAUUUAUUUGUUUAUUUGUUUGAUUAUCUAUUUUCAUUCAUUUUGAUACAUCUCAUUCAUUCAUAAAGCAUCAUCAUUCAUGUAAUGCAUCUAUCAUAAUAUUGCAUAAUACAUAAAUCUUUUGUUUUAUCAGGGGUAGCAAUUUAAAAGAAAUGGGUGAUUAAUUAAAAGCGCGAAUCUAGGUGUUAGAACUCAUCCAAGAAAAAUUGAGGCAUAAUCUAUAAAAAGUGAAAAUAAACUUACCAAGCUAGUGGAAAGGGUUUAAAAUCUUGAAACGGUCCAUUCUCACAUGUCCUUAUCAAUUCAUGUGUACAUUAAGCAACCAAUUUUCCAAGAUCAAAAAGUCUCUUACAAUACUGAUGCUAGUCCAAGUCAUGUUAGUGCAUCUGAUGACCUAAUAAAAGAUUAAGUAAGAAAAGAGAUAAGGCUUUCUAACUUUGUGCCAACCCCACAGAUUGGCUCAUACCCAAAUCUUUAUCCUUAACCUCAACAACCCUUUUUGGUACCUUAAACAAAACGUGCUUCCAUUCAACCUCCACAGAUUGACCCAAACCUAUACUAUAGCCCAAUUAUGAAUAAUGUUUAUUAGCCUAUCUAGUAAUCAAAAUUUUCAAUGAAACCUUAGCCCUAUAUACCCAUUUCAACUCUAAGACCCACACCCAUAAGUCCACUAAUGGCUCAACCUAAGAAAUCAUUGAGUAAGAAGAAAAUGAAAGCCAUCAUUAAUCGAAUUCCUAUGAACUACAGUGACCUAUUCGCAUUACUUCUCUAAAACCAUUUGAUCAUACUAGUUCCUUUAAAGCCAUUAAAACUUUCUUAUCCUAAGUGAUAUGAUGCUGAGGCUCAGUGUGAUUAUCACUUUAAAAAUACUGGCCAUCGAUAGAAAAUUGCCUUGCCUUCAAACAUAAGGUGCAAUAUUUGAUUAAAAUUAACUUGUUGAGUUUUAAGAAAAAUGAAAAGCCUGAGAUUGUUGAGAGGUCAUUGCCUAAUCAAAAUAAUUGAAGAACUUAUUCAUGGUAGUACCAUGAUAUUGAAGUUGUAUAUAGGACCAGGUAAUAGAGUUUAGGAAUUCUUUUAGGAAUGUUUGGAUGUUUUGUUAGAAUAAUUUUUUGAUUUUUAAUUAAAGAUUUCUUUUUAUCUCUUUCGUAUUAUGUGAUAGCACUAAAUGCAUCCAUUCAUUCAUAUAAAUAUUUUCUAUUUGCACAAAUUUAUAGUUAGAUAUCAUCCUAAUUCAAUAAUUGUGGUAGUAAAGUUCAAAAGUCUUAUUGUCAAGGUAAUCUAUUUGCCACCUAUAGAGCUAAAAUAAUAUAGCCGAAUUGAAAAAAUGGAGAAAGCUUAAGAUGUAAUAAGAGAAGAUCUGUCGUAGAUAGUGAAAAUUCUAAAAAAUUUGAAAAAAGUGAAAGACGCUUGCAUACAAUUAUCUUAAAAUGCACAAUCAUAGCAAGCACCACCUUUUGGGACAUACUUUUAGCCUGAAAUACCUGGAAUAAUUACACCAAUUUUAGUUCUUGAUGAUCUUGAAAAGCUAGAAAAAUUAAAGGUAAGUUCAUUUGAAACAAUAACAAAUCUAAGUUCUCAAAAGAAGAUGGAUCUCAUACAGGAAAUGCUUCGAGCUAUUAAAAAAAUAUAUUUUUAUGGAUCUAUGGACGCAUUGAAACUUUGCUUGGUAUUAGAUGCUAUUAUUCUGUCCAAGUUUAGGGUCCUAAAAUUUGAAAAAUAUGAUGGGAUUAAAUGCCCAGCGACGCAUGUCACUAUGUAUUGUAGAAAAAUGGUUGCCCAUACUCGUGAUGAUAAGCUCUUGAUUUAUAUAUUCCAUAAUAGUAUUAAAAAGUCUACUAUUAAGUGGUAUGAUCAGUUGAAUAGAAUUCAUAUCACUUUAUAGAAAUAAUCGUCAUGGCAUUUUUAACCCAAUACAAGCACAUUAUGGAGUUGGUUCCAGAUCAGUUGUCUCUAUAAAGCAUAGAGAAGAAAAAUGUUGAAAGCUUCAGAGAAUAUGCUCAAAGGUGGAAGGAUGUUGCUGCUCAAAUUCAACCACCAUUAACGAAAAAAAAACUACAGUUUUGUUUGUCAACACUCUUAAAGAUCCAUAUUAUGAUAGGAUGAUAAAAAAUGCAACUAAGAAUUUUGCUGACAUGGUUAUAUCUAGGGAAAUAAUAGAGAAUGCCCCUAAAAAAGUGAAAAACUUAAGGAGAAUGAUACAAGUAGUAUAAAUGAAGUUGGUAUACCAAGAACGAAAAGAAAAGAUAUUCAAGUUGUGAUUUAUGAAGGAAAAUAGGUUGAAAACUUUACCCUAUACCAUCCUUACCAACCUCGCUACCCUGCCAUAAUAACCUUGCUUAAAAUCCUAUUUACCAGCCUUAUCCCUAAUCUACUGCCCAACCAUUGUAAAGUAAAAAAAGGUUAAGAAACAUUCUCGAGAAAAUCUCAAUUCUAAUUUUUUAUUUUUAGUCUCUGUUGGUAAAUUAUUAAUACCUCACCUCAAUACCUUUGAAAGUAAUUUCGAAUUCAUCAGUGAAGAGUUAUGAUCAAAACAGUAAAAGUGAUUAUCAUAAAAAGGUAAUUGGGCAUUCGAUUGAGAAGUGUAGGUAGUUGAAAAAGAAGAUUGGAAGUCUCAUUCAUAAUGGCACCUUGACCCAAGAGCUUUUUGAGCAAAGGAAAUAUGCUUUAUCAUAGGUUGAUUUUUCUCUAUUUUGGAUGUCUUGAACAUGGAUUGCGAGAAAAUUUUAGAAGUUUGUAAUAAGUUUUUCUUUUUUUUUCAAUUUUAAUUGUUUGGAUUCCUGCAUAAUUAAUUUUUUCAAAGCAUGUGAAAAAAUUUCAAAAAAUUGGUGACUGUUGUUAAAAAUGAGCAUCAUAAGCCAUUUCCUUAAACAUUUCAUUCUUUUCAACUGGAAAACUAAGAAAGUUAAGAAUAUUUAGGGAUGAAAGCUUCGGAACAUCACCUUAUUAACCAUGAUGAAUCUUAAAAAUUAUUGAUCUUUAUUUAAGCUAUAAGCAAUGAGAUGGUUGAUUAAUUUGUAAAUCUUUUAGGGCACCCUUCUAAAGUUUUUUGGAUUUUUGUGAUUUAAUAAAUGUCAAGGUUAUUUUAAAUGCUUCACCAUCAAAAUUCUCCCGUAAAUCCCAAACUUUUAUAUUUUCUCAUGUUGUUUAGUGCAACAUUUUUUUCCUUGACCAAGUAAUCUUUCGACCUUAUCUUAAGACAAACUUAUUAAAAAAGUCAACUUUACUUGAUGUCUUAAAUAACCCUUUUUGACAAUUUUGACCGAUGAACAUCCUAAUGGAUUGCGAAAAGGAAAAUUGUUAUGUUUCGUUUCACUUGAGUAAAAAGUUAAAAAAAUGUAUUAUGAGUAUGAGUUGCAGAAAAAAAUAUAAAGGAAGAAAAAGAAAAGAUAUGAUUGUGACAUUAUGCAUCUAAAAUCAAUGAGAAAAAAGUCAUCUCCUGAUAAUUACUUUUCAAUUGAAGUAUGCAUACUUGAAAUGAAAUAGGGCCAUUUUUCAAAUUUUCUUCACAAAAAAAAAAAUCCUUUUGUAACCUGUUUCUGUUGAUUUUUCUUUUUGAACCCUAAACUAAGAAUCAUCCUCUAAAUUUGAGGGCAUGUUCAAAAAUGAGGAUCUCAUCAAGGGGGCAUUUGAACAUAAUUUGAACUUUAUGUUGAAAGGCUAAGAAAUAAGGCUUUAUGUUAAGGAGGGAAGUUUGAAAUAAACAGAGUUCCAAGUUUUUUAGCUCAUGCAAAAAAAAAAAAAAAUAGGGAAAAUGAUGAAACGACAUUCUUGGUUCAAAUACCCUUGAACAUGUAUAUUGGGCUUAUUUAUCCUUUCUUUUAAAACCUCAAACCCCCUCCUGUGUUACAUACUUUAAAAAGUCAAUUUUAAUUAUGUAUAGAUACCUAAGUUGAAAGGCUUGUUCUUUAGGAAAAUCAUCAAUUUGGUUUUAAAUGAAUUUUGAGUGCUCAAAUGAAUAGUGGAAUAAUCAUAAAAAAUAAAAAAAAGAAUAAAGCUCUAGGGUGAAAACCCAAAAGGGUAGUCUAGAUUAAGAGUGAAAUUUGAAAACAAUUCAUAAAACUUAUUAAUGUAAAAUGCAUUAGGUAAAGCCAUUUUUGAAUGAACCUUGAUGCAUUGAAGAUUUUAAUCAACCCUAUUUUGAUGAAUUGUUCUUAAAUCUGAACCUUUUCUUUAUUUCCCAAAGCUUAGAGCCUUGCAUGACUAGUCUUGGCAUUUAUUAAAUUCCCAUAUAUCAAGAACUUAAAAGAGUGCCAAAAUAGAUUAUACUUUAAAAUAUCAUUUUCAUUUGUGAAUCUAAAUGAAGAGACAUUGAUAUUCCUUUUCUUGUUCAGUGGUUAACCCUUUGAUAACUAAAGUCAUGGUGUGCCAAACCAUUACCUCUCUUUUGGAAAACCAAGUUAUGAUUCAUCAUAUUUAUUCUAAACAGUACUCACCAAUUUUUAAAAGAUAUGGUCACUUGUGAAAUAUUGUAUUAGAGUGGGGCAAUGUCCAUUACUAUUAGUGAAAAUUUUAGGAAAUAUUCAAAAAGUUCUUUUGAAUCUCAAUGCUGAUUGUGGGAAAUAGAUAAAUACUAUGAUGAAAAAGAUGUUUACAAGGCAAGUAGAAAUGCCAAUUGAAGGGACAUAUAGUGAAAAAGACUUAUAGAUAGGAAAAAUGAUUUUUAAAAAUGACGAUGCUUGAGCCAAGAAAAUGUGAGAAUGUUUGCUUUGAAAGAACUUGUCACUUUAUUUUGAAGGUAUAUGGUGGAAAGUUGGAAGGAAUGUUUCAAGAAUUAUGGUAUCACAAUUAAGGACAUAUGGUAUUGAUUUCAUGAAUUGCAUUCAUUGCAUACCUUUUAAUACAUUAUAUGUAUCACAUUAUUUAUUCUAUUGCACUUAUUGCAUACUUUCAGCCAAUGGGAAAGAUAGAAGCUCAAGUUUGAAACUUUGGUUGAGAAAAGAAAACUUUGCAAGAUAAGAUUUUUUUUAUUAGGUCAAAAACCUUUGAUGAUGAUUUUUUUUAUUAGGUUAAAAACCUUUGAUGAUGGCAUCAAAUGAAGUUUUAUUUCAGAGUAUUUUGUUAAAACUUCCAAGUAUCAAUUUUGAAAAUUUUUGGGUAGUACUUCUUAAAACCUCUGGAUACAUCUUAUAAGCUUUAGAAUACUCUUCUCGAAGUUCUCUGGGCACGAUUUAUAAGACUUCUAGGCAUAAUUUUCAAAUCCUUCAGGUAUGAUUUGCAAGACUUCCGAGUAUGAUCUUUUUAAAGCCUUUAGGUAUCUUUUUAAAAUUUUAAGUUAUAAAGCUUUUGUGUGAAAUGAGCUUUUCAAAUUUUGAUUUAUAAGAUCUCUGGACUUAAUAUUCAAGUUCUUUGGACAAGAUUCAUAAGUUUUUCUAGCUAAAUCUGUUUUAAAGUCGAGAUUUGUAAGAUCUUUGGGUGUAAUCUUCAAGUCUUCCAAGCAAUAUUUGUAAAUCUUUUGAGUUGAAUUUGUUUUAGAAUUAAAAUUUGUAAGACUCCCGGGCAUAAUCUUCUAAUUCUUCUAACAUAAUCAAUAAGACCUCUAGAUGUGAUCGUCAAAACCUUUAGGUGUUGUCCUUUAUUUUUAAAAUUGUUAUACAUUUAUUAUGAAAAAGCUUUUAUUUUUAUAAGUUGUUAUGCUUUUAUUAUAGAGGAGCCUUUAUUUUUAAAAGUUGUGCACUUUUAUUUUCAAAGAGUUUGUCAUAAAAAUAAAAAAAACAAAAAAACAAAAAAAAGGGUGAAUAAUUUAGACAUGGAUGUAAUAGAUUAUUUAUAUCUUUAUAUAAUUAUUGUUACAUAAAAAAUGUACAAAGAGGGGUAAUUAUGACAUUCAAUUUAGUCCGAGCUUAAAUUAAUUAGGCUUAAUUUAAUUUUAGACCCAAAAGCCCAAAUUAGUUGGACUCAGACCCAUUUCAUGACCAAUUGCUGAAUUUCUUUUAUUUUUAAUUUUUAAUUUUACUUUUAUUGUAUUUAUUUAGGUACAUAUUUAUCUUAUUUAUUUUUAUUUGUGUUAAAUUUUUAUUUUUAUUGUGGUUUAUCUUUAAUUUCAUUUUUUUUGAAUAUUUAUCUUUUUAUAUUAUUAGUUUUUAUUUUAUAAUGUUUAUUUAUUAUCUUUCACUUAUUUAUUUAUUUAUUGAUAUGGUUAUUUAAGAAAAGGGAUAAUGAAAAAAUGUUGGAUGGGCGGAUGUUGAUAAUAUGGAGAUAAGUUUGUUAUUAUCAUUAUUUAAACUUGUGAAGAUAAAUUUUAUUUUUAAAAGAUAAUUCUAGUUUUUUGACUUGGAGUUCAUCUGAAAUUCUUAUUGAGUCCUAUAAAUAGGACUUGUGGGAGGAGUGCAAUAACACAACAAUCAACAGCAAAUUAGAGAAACACAAAAUGAGACAAUCGAGCAACACAGAAAUCAGGGAGAGAAACACAAAGGAAAUAAAAAAAAAAAAACACGCAUUCUGUUUGGCUUAGCUCCUAGUUGCCGAUUACCACUUUUUCCACCUAAACCAAUUUUCCUCAACCUCUUGCAAUCACCACCACACAUAACCCACAAUCCAAAUUGCCAUAAUCCACACACGAUGACAGAUUUGGGUCGUGUAAUCUUUGGGAUCUAGGGUUCAUUGAAUUAAUGUUAGAUAAUUGAAGAGAAAAUAGCUCUCGGUUGAUUAAAGACAGCGUUGAAAAAAGUGGGUAUUUUGGUUUUUUUGGAUUUUUGAGUAUUGGAGAUUCGAACUGGUGAGGAGGGAUCGAGUUUCGACCUUUGAGGCACCAGGAUACUGGAACCAUUGCUUGGAAGAGUUUUUGAUUUCUUUCAUAUCGUAAGAGCUUUAGUUUAGGAAAAGAAGAAGAAAAAAAUUUAUUAUUAAGGAAUUCAAGCUCUACAACAGUGUUGCUGGUCAGAAAUGGCGAGGUAGUAUGGUUGGUGGCAACGUCUCGUGUGUCAAACAAACAGAGGAAGAAAGUAAAAGAGAUAAUGGAAGCUAUUGAGGUUGUCAAUAGCUGUAGUUUAGUGGUCAAUUGUUCUGGUCUUGUAAAGAAAGGUAAAGGCAGGUGCCGUUUGAAGAAAGAACAGAAAGGGAAGGAAAAUUUCUUCAAUUUAUAACCCAAAAGGCAACCUUCUAGUUUGAAGUGAAUUUCGGCUUUAGGUUUGACAACUUUUAAUCCAAGCCUAGCACCUAGCCUAAGCCUAAAUGGUGAAAAAAAAUAGAUAUAUUUACAAUAAAAUAAAACUUAAUAAUAAAAAUCAAUGAUUAGGCAUUUUACUCAACGACAUAAUUUUUUUAAAAAAUGAAUGAUAUUCUUAAAUACUUUUGAAGUAAAAAAAUAAUUUUAAGAAUUUUAUUAGAUUAAUGAAAAAUCUUAAAAGUUAUUUUCAAUAUUUAAUAGUAAAAUUUAAUAAAAGACCAUUAGGACUAUAGAUUUUUAGGAUAAUUUAAAAUUAAAUGGUACCAUUUUUUAAUUGUAAGGAUACUAUAACAUUCACCAUACGUAAUUAAAUGCUUGAGCCUUAUUGUAAAACAUAAACCAAAAUUUAUUUUUUUAGGAAUCCUUAGUUAAGCAUAGGAUAUCUUUAAAAAGAUAGAUAGAUUCACCUAGGUAACUAAUCGCACUUAAAUAAAACAGAUUGAUGGUGACUUUUUAGGUUGUGUCUAGUGAUAAAUUCAUGGAUAUAUACAUUAUAAGAACAAAAAUCUUUAAUUUCUAAGAAUUAAUCAUUGUUAACCAAACAAAGUGAUUUCAAAUUAUAAGUGCUAAGAUCACUUUAAUAAUUACAUUACCAUGGUGAUCUUACAAAAGAUAUAAAAUGCUACUUAUGUGUAAGCAUUUUGAUGGUAUGUGAUGCCCGUAUGGAUUAAAAACUUGCCUGGAUUAUAACCAAUAUUUCACAUGGCUGAUGGAUACAUUCAUGCAAUAAAAUAUCUGCUUGAGAUCCAAUUUAUUGCAAGCUAUAACAUACCACCUGACACCUUGUGUGUAAUUUCAUUUUUUUUUCUAAGUAUGACUAACUCUUCUAUAUAUAAUUAACAAAAAGACCAGUCAGUGCUGUUUGUAAUUCUGCUAUUUCCUUUGUGCAUAUAAUCACAUUGCUUAAAAUUUCAAAAUGUAGGUACCAGAUGGAAUAUUUUCUUUUUUUAGUUUUAAAGAUCAUAUUACUAGUUGAUUAUUAGUGUAGGGGUCCUUUAUAGCUUCAUUUCUUUUAUUAUCACAUGAAAACCUACCAGUAUAGUGGCUAUAAGGUGUCAAUAAAUUACCUAAAUCCUAUCGAGUCACAAUCUUAUGAACUUGCAUUAUCCUCACUUGAAAUGUGUAGAUACUUCAUUUUAUCCAAAAAUUUUUUCGAGAUCAAAAAUGAGUUUUUGACCAUUAAUUGGGCCCAAUUAUGAAAAUUUGAAACUAAUAAUUUUUUUUUAAUUUUAUGUUUGAAUUUUUUUUGGUUUAAUGUUAGUUUCUGUUAUUUUUUUUUUAAAGUAAAAAAAGUCAAAAGUCUUAUUUAAAAAAAAGGAAAUAAAAAAAAUGAAAAAAACAAAAAUUUUGUUAAAAAGGAAAGCCACGGAAUUUGAUUUUGGGAAUCAUGCAAAAUCAAGUCCCAAAAUUAAUUCAUAGAAAAAUCAAACCAAAUUGAAUCACAUUCAAUUCAAAUUGGGUUGAUUUAUUUUUAAGAUUUAAAGUGAUUAAAUCCCUAUAAAGAAUGAUACGUAGAAACCAUUUAAAGGGAAAUUGAGUUUUGCCUUUGGUAGUUUUUGGAAUUGCGAAUUUCCAGAUUUUUAUUUUCAAGGUUUUUUGGGAUCAGUUUCGAUUUCUUUUUUUUUUUUUUGGGAGUCAAAAAGCUUUUUAGGAAGUUUUGGGUUUUUUGGACUUUUUUUUUUUUAAGUUGCUUUGGGUUUUGAUUUGGUUUUAAACUUGGCUUUUUAAUUGAUUCAGGCUUGUGAUUUGAAUUUAUGAGGAAAUUCUGAUUUUUUUAGGUUUAGAUUGGAUAUUUGGGUUCUUUUGGAGAUUUUUCUAGGUUUUUUGAAAAAAAAAAAAGCUUUUCUGGGUUGGGUACGAAGAUUCCAUUGAAUUUUUUGAGUUUCCAAUAAAGCUCACAAUGGCUGAAGGAUUUUUACGGUGGCCACUUUUUGGGUUUAUCUGAUUUUUUGGAAAGGUUUGAACAUUCUAGCUGCCAGUUGAAUUUCUUGAAGUCGAAAUUUAGGAAUUUGGGUUGUUGGAUGAAUUUUUCAUUUGAAUGUUAGAGAGAGGUCAAAGGAAAAUUUUGUAGAAAGAGAAAGAACCAAGGCCAUACGAGAAAAAUUAAAAAUUUUUUAUUUUUAUAGCAGUACCAAAAAGGCACCACUUUGGAGAAGACCCUCUGACCUGCCUGAACCCGUAGAGAUCCACGCGUAACUCGAUUUUGAUCCGACCUAUAGCGUAGGUUUUCCCUUUUUUUUGUUGAUUUUUUUUGCUUUGAUUUUCUUAAUUUAUUUUUCUAUUUUGUUUUUUUUAUAUAUUAUUUUUAUUUUUAUAUUUUAAUAUUUAUUAUGAUUUUUUGAAUUAAUGUGGUGAGAAAAGAAAAAAGAAAAAAUAGUUUUAUUUUUGCAUGAUGCUUUUUUUUAUAUAUAAUUUCAUGUUUUCAUAUUUAUUAUGUGAUCUAUUAAAUACAUUUUGUAUAACUGUAUGAUUAUAUUUAAUUGCAUGAUAAUUAAUAUUAUUGCAUGAUAUAUUAUAUUAUUAUUGCAUGAUAUUAUUUACAUUAUAAUUUUUCUUUAUUUUAAUUGAUUUUUAAAUUAAAAAAAAGUUUUUCAAAAACAUUUUUUUUCAAUCCUACCAAACUAUUAAAAGAUUUAAAUAUUAAAUUAAGUCGUACCAAACUUUGGAGGAUUUAAUGAAUUUAAAAAUAUAUAUUUAAAAUCUUACCAACAUAUUGAAGGAUAAUUUUUGAUGGAAAUCUUACCAACAUAUUAAAAGAUAUUUUUGAGAAUAAAUUAUUUUCACAAAUAAAAAUUUUUUUAUAACAAAAAAAUUAAAUGAAUCCAACAACGGAGCCUCUUCAAAAUAAGUCAUUAGUCUUCAUAAAUACUUUUGAGGUAAGAAAAUUAUCUUAAAUUACUACCAAACUAUUAGAGUAAUUUUAAGAUCAAUUUUCAAUAAUUAAAUUAUUUGAUAAAAUUACAAAGAGACUUUAUGGUUUGGAUAAUUUGAAAUCAAACUAGUACCAUACUUUAGAUGGGUGUUGUGAAGGUCUUAUAAUCUUUCUCAUAAAUAACCGUACUCUUAAACUUAAAAUCUAGUUUUGUAGACUAGAAUCUAUCUUUUAAAGAUAUAUAAAUCCAGUUUGAGACUCCUUUUUAAAAUAAGACAGAUUCAGUUAGUUGGCUAAUCACACCUAAAUAUAAAAGAUUGGUGGAAACUCCUAAAGUCUAUGUCUAACGAUAGAUCCAUAGAUCUAUAUAUUAUAAUAGUUUGGUGACUCCGCUGGAGGCAUCGAAAAUCAAGCCAAUAAAUGAUUUCUUAUUAUCGAAGCCUAACCUAAUAAAUUUAAAAUUUUUUUCUUGUUUGUAUUUUAUUUAUUUUUUUAUUUUAUAUAUCUGUUAUUCAUUUGCACAUGUAUAACAUGAGCUUUACAUCUGAGUUCUGUUCCUUAUGAGGGAGUAAAGUACUUACACCUUAGUGAGAUUUCAUGUCUCCGUAUGGACUGGCAAAAACUUUCACUCAAAAUGAACCCUUUUCGCUUGUAACUUAUAAUGGGUGAGGAUUGGGAUGCCUUAUUAGUCUAUAAUGGAUAAUGAUAUAAGGAACAAUUUAGUAACCCUUAGAUUAUCAAACCUUUGAACCAGCAUAAAAUAAACCCUAAAUAUCUAAACCUAAGUUAGAGCUAUGUAUUUCCUUGUGUUAGAAAAUCCUAAUUAGGACACAUGCAGGGACAUUUAUUAUACUUGUAAAUUUAUAUAUUAUUUGUAUAUACUAACCUUUUACAUUGUUUUUUUGUAUAUAUUAUUUUUUUUUGUAUAUAUCAUGUUUACUAACCCUUUUCUUUUAUUGUAUAUGUAUGCAUUCACAUCAUAAAAUCUUUUUUAUUGCAUUCAUGCAUUUCUACAUUCAAUCUCAUGCAUAAUUGGAUGGUUCCAUAAACAUCACUUUAAAUUUGGACCAUAAUUGUGAAAAAUCAAGAUUCAAAGAUAGCUCAACACUAGUAUAACAUCCAGACCCAAGCUAGAAGAAUGAAAUAAGAUAAUCAAGCCAUGUUGAGAAAUUAGAAAAAGCCUAAGAGGAGAUUAAGAAAGAGUUGAGCAAAAUCUUUAAGGCAAUAGGCAAGUUGAAUAAAGGCAAGGUCGUAGAAGAAGAUGUUUGACAUGAUGUUACUAAUUCUUUAUAUCCUCCAAGUUAUGGCUUGUAUCAAGCCCAAUCCACUCCAAGCUUUCUAUCAUGAUAGUUAGUAUUUUCGAUAGGCUAUACUUAUUUAAGAAUGCCAUUUACACGCAACCAUGGGAAUGUUUAAACCUACAACAACCUUAUCUUUGCUAAAAAAGUAGUUAAAUUGGUUCGAGUUCCUAGUAUAGACGUCUUAAAAGAUAAAUUGAAAAUGGUUGAGGCUUUGGAAGACACAAAACAUAAAUAGAAGAUGAACCUGUUGAACGAGAGAUUACAAGUCGUUAAGGGCAUAGACUUUUAUGGCUUAUAGAUGUUGCUAGGAUUUACUUGGUUCUGGAUGUUGUGAUUCUUUCAAAAUUUAAAAUGCCUGAGUUUAAAAAAUAUGAUGGUACAAAAUGUUUUAUCACACAUACUGCCAUGUAUUAUCAAAAUAUGAUUGCUUACACCUAUGAUGAAAAGCUAUUGAUGCAUACAUUCCAAGACAACUUUACUGGCUCAGUUACAAUGUGGUAUGUUCAACUAGAUCGAACUUGCAUAUGCCUUUAGAAUGAGCUCACUUGGACAUUUAUUAAUAAGUAUUAUCAUAUCAUAAAUAUGGCUUAUGAUCAUAUUUCUUUACAGAGUAUGGAGAAAAAGGUAACUGAAUUAUCUAAGAAUGUACCUAGAGAUGGAGGGACAUAGUUGCUUUGGUUCAGUUACUCUUAACUGGAAAAAAAUGAUAGCAUUGUUCAUUAGCAUUUUGAAAGCACCUUAUUAUGAAAAGAUAAUAAAAAAAAUGCAACAGAGAAUAUUACUGAUAUGGUGAUCUAAGGGAAAAUUAUUGAAAAUGCCAUCAAGAGUGAUAAGCUUGAGGAAUGAGAUGCUAGUAAUUCCAAGAAAGGGGGAUGCCUAAUAAAAAAGAAAUCGAAGCCUAAGUUGUGAGUUUUGAGAGGCAACAAUUUAGAGGUUAUGCUCUAUAUUCACCACAUGUUCAUCCUGCUUAUUACUCGAUAAUCAAUAAUAUUACACAAGUCUCUUACUAGCAUCAUUACUCAAACAUGACUAAUAUCUACCUAAGCCUUUUAUCAAUAAGCCUUUUAAGCACAUGUAUAUGGGCCUAAUCCUGUCACUAUACCAGUUUCAAGGCGUAACAAUCAAGCAAGUGAUUUUGGGAAGAUUCAAGGGCAACCAAGAAAGGGCUCGCAUUAAUCCUAUCCCCAUAAACUAUAUUGAGUUAUUCCCAAAAUUGGUCAAGAAUGACCUGGUAUCCCCAGUUUUUUUUUAGCCAUUGAAGCCAUCCUAUCCUAAAUGGUAUAAUAUUAAUGUCAUAUGUGAUUAUCAUAAUUGAAAUAUGAGUCACUUUAUAGAAAACUGCCCUGCUGUCAAGCAUAAGGUGCUAAGUUUGAUCCAAGCAAGCUCGAUAGGUUUUAAUGAAUCAGAGGAGCUAAAUGUCUAUAAAAGCCCUUUGCUUGAUCAACUAAGGGCACAAUUUUGGCAAGGAUACAAAAAAGUUGACUGAAACUACUUGUCAUUUUAGAAUUUCUUUAGAAUAAUGGACUUUUUUUAUUCUACUAGAAUUUCAUUUUAUUUUUCAUAAUUUUAAUAAAAGUGGCAUAUAUGAUGCAUAUUCAGGACAUUUUCUUUUUUGUGUGAAUCAUCAUUUUAUGCUUUUAUCUUCUUACAUCUUUUUCUAUAUCCAUUCUUAAAUUUUAAAUAAUAAAUGUUCAGACAGUUAUGACAACAAUUCAAGAUUCUAUUUUGAAAACAUCAUUCAUGUUGAUAAAUUAAGAUUGUUGGUUCAGAUUGCUGAAUAAAAAAAGAUAAAUUUGGCUAAGAAUUUUGCUCAUUGAAAGAUGAAAUUGAUGCGGAACGUGAUUUUUAUUUUUAGUGAAUAAAUGUUCUUCAUUAAGAGUAUUCAUGUUUGAAGUGAGAAAUGACCAUCUUUCUUAUACCCUUUACUUAGUGAGUAAAAUUAUCCUUUGUUAUCCCAUUUGAGUUUAUUGAAAUUUUCUUUCAAGAAACCCUAACUAGGGAUCACAUAUUCACAUUGGGGGCAAAGUUUGAGAAGUUUAGAAAAGUGAAGAUCCUUAAUGAUUUUAGAGGCAAAGCCCUUUUGUGCUCAAAUUUUUCUUGAAAAUGAUAAAAAUAAAAAGAAAACAAAAGCAAAAAAAAGGAAAAAAAAAUUGAUUGGGCAAAGUAUCAAUGUGCUCUACAUGAGAAGAAAUUAUCUUUAGUUUGAUUACCCUUCAAAUAUAGUUUGGGCCUAUUUUAUCCAUUUCUUUCAUAAGCCUUUACCUUAGCCUAUGUUAUGUCAUUUAAAAGUCCAUUUUGAUUAAAUGUAAAUACUCGAGUUAGAGAAUUAUGAGUUGAACUAAGGUUUUAAUUGGAUUGAUUGGGAUUUUAAAGGAACAAAGGAAAAUGAAAUAAAAAGAAAAAAAAUGAAAAGGAGAUGUGAAAAAAAAACCAAAAAAAGAAAAAGAAAGACUUAAAUUAAAAACCUGAAAGGGUGGUUUAAAAAAAAACUUGGAAAAAUAGCUUCAUUUGAGGAUCCUAGUGAUAUAUAUAAUAUUUGGUUCAAAGAUUGAGAAUAUCAAUGGAAUGUGUUUUCAAAAAAGAAUUCUAAAUUAGAGUUCAAAAUUGUUUGAAUAUUAAUUAUUUUGGAUUUUGAUAUCUCAUGUAAACAAUCGCAACAUUGUGCUUUUAUUUAUCUUUGAGUUGUUCUUGACCAUACUUUUUUUCAAUAAUGAGACCCAUUUUUCUUAUUCUUUACCAAAUGUACAUUCCCUAAAUGUAUUAAGAAAAUAUAUUAUACUUGUCAUAAAUUGGAAUGAUGAUAAAUACAUGAAUGACAAUGUUUGUAAAAUAUUUUUUCAUUCAUUUAAAAGAAAUUCAAGAUGAUAGAAGUGAAAGAAGUUAAGAAGAUGAGUUGAAAAGGGCAAAUAAGGUCAAUAUAACUUGUAAGUUAUGAUCAGAUGAAGAAACUGACAUGGAUCAAUUAAUGGAAUUUGUUCUAAAAUUAUUAAUACUGAUAAGCUAAAAAGGAAUAUAUAAGAUGGUAGAGUCUUAAAAACCUUGUUACCACAAUUGAAAUUUCAUGAUAUUGAUUUAGUGACAUCUUCAUUAUAUACAUUAUGUUUACAUUGUUUUUUAAAAUCUUUGAUAAUUGCAUUUGCAUCAUGGUUGGAGCAUGCAUUUGAAUCAUAGUAUGACAUUUGCAUUAUGGUUUAAAACAUGUAUUUGCAUCAUUUGGUAAGAAUCUAGAUUGUUACAUUUGCAAUAUGUAGAAGACAUUUGCAUUGAUAUUUAUUGUAUAAAAAUUUGACUUUGAUUGGAGAAAAUUUUUGACUUUUGAGUCCUUAAAUUAGGAAGAUCUUUCCUAAUGAGAUUUUUUUUAUGAGAAAAACUUUCCAAACGUUUUAAAAUAUAAAGCUUUUGUUUAAAUGAGCUUUUUGAAUAAUAAUAUUUGAAUUUUGGAUGUGAAUCCCAAACUUUUUUCAAUGUGAAUAUUCAAAAUGUUAGAUGUGAAACCUAGAAAUUUUUCGAAUAAGAAUCUUUGAAAUCUUGAUAUGAAUCCCAAAAUUUUUUGAAUGAGAAUCUUUAAAUUUUGGCCAUGAACCUUGAAAUCUUUGAUGUGAAUCCUUGAAAUUUUCAAAUAUAAAGCUUUAAAUUUUAGAUGUGAAUCACUAAAAAAAUUUUGUUUGAAUGCAAAUUUUUGAAUCUUGUAUGUGAAUUAUAAUUUGUGAAUCUUGUGAAUUUAAAGUUCUUAUGAAUAUGAAUUCUUACAAAUCUAAAAUUCUUAUCUAAGUUCUUACGAAUCUUCCAUUAUUGUGAAUCAAAAAAUUCAUGCGAAUCUGAAUUCUAGCAAAUUUUUAAAUUCUUUCGAAUCUAAAAUUCUUACAAAUCUUUAAAUUUUUAUGAAUUUGAAAAGCCUUACGAAUCUCGCAAUUUUUACAAAAUUUUAAAUUCUUGUGAAUUUGAAAUUCUUGUAAAUCUUUAAAUUCUUGUGAAUAUGAAAUUCUUGUGAAUCUUUAAAUUUUUGUGAAUCUAAAAACUUUACAAAUUUUAUAAUUCUUGCAUUUCUUUAAUUUCUUGCAAAUCUAAAAUUUUUGCAAAAUUUGGAAUCUUUGUGAAUCUUGAAACUUCUAUAAAUCUUUUAAUCUUGAAUCAUUUACGAACUUUUAAAAUCUUUGAAAAACUUGAAAUUCUUGUGUAUCUGAAAACUUUUAGAAUCUUGAAUCUUUUCAAAAUUUAAAAUCAUUACGAAUUCUUUGCGAAUCUUAAAGUCUUGGAAUCUUUCAAAUUUUGUUAUAGAACCUUGCGAAUCUUUACAAUAUUGUGAAGCUUUGAAUUUUUAAAUUGUGAAUAUUUGGAUUUCAAGCUAAAACUUUUGAAUAUUUUUGGACCCGAGUAAAAUGGAUGUCUUUUGACAUUUCAUAUUUAAAGUUUUUAAAGUUGUUUAGCCUUUAUAUAGGGAAAUCUAUUGCUUAAUUUAGAAUUGUUAAGCCUUUGUUUAAAGGAGUUAUUUGAAGUUUUUUUUUUUCAAAAGUCGCAUGCUUUUAUUUAGAGGAUUUUUUGCUUAAUUCGAGCCCCAACAUAAUUGGUAUCUAUGUUUUUGCAUAAUUCAUGUUUUGUAAAAAUUGUGCAAAGUGUGACAACUGUAGAUACCUUAUUUUGUUCAAGAAUUUUUUCGAGAUCGAAAACGGGCUUUCACCAUUAAUUGGACUUGAUUGUGAAGCUUUGGGCCCAAUAGAAAAUUUUUCAAUUUUAUGUUUAAUUUGAUUUUUGGUUUUAAUGUUAGUUUCUAUUUUUUUGAAAGUAAAAAAUAAGUCAAAAGUAUCAUUAAAAAAAUAAAAGAAAUAAAAAAAAUGAAAUUUUUGUUAAAGAGGAAAGCCACUAAAUUUGAUUUUAAGAAUCAUGCAAAAUUAAAUCCCACUAUUAAUUCCUAGUAAAAUAAAGCCAAAUCAAAUCCCAUUCGAUACAGAUUGGGUUGAUUAAUUUUCCAAAUUUAAAGGGAUUAAAUCUUUAUAAAGAAUGAUACGCAUAAGCCAUAUAACGAGAAAUUAUGUUUUGACUUUGGUAGUUUCUGGAAUUUUGAAUUCCAAAUUUUUUAUUUUUAAAGCUUUUUAGGAUCAGUUUUGGUUUUUUUUUUUUUCAUUUUUUUGAAGUCAAGAAACUUUCUAGGAAGUUUUGGUUUUUUGGACUACUUUUUUUUAAAGUUGUUCUAGGUUUUGAUUUGGUUUUAGACUAGGCUUUUUAAUUGAUUCAAGCUUGUGAUUUGAAUUUAUGGGGAAAUUUUGAUUUUUUUUGGAUUAGAUUGGAUAUCUAGGUUUGUUUGGAGAUUUUUAUGGGUUUUUUGAAAAUUUUUUUUGUGUUUUUCUAGGUUGGGUAUAAAGAUUUCAUUGAAUUUUUAAAGUUUUUAGUGAGGCUCACGAUGGUCGGAAUGUUUUUAUGGUGGCCGCUUCUGGGUUUAUUUGAUUUUCUAGAAAAGUUUGAACAUUUCGAUUGCUGGUUGAAUUUUCUGGCAUCAAAAUAUUGGAAUUUACGCUGCCAAAUGAAUUUCCUAUUUGAAUGUUAGAAAGAGGUAAGACGGAAAUUUUGUAGAGAGAGAAGGGACCAAGGCCAUAUAAGAAAAACUAAAAUUUUCUAACUUUUACAAUAGUACCAAAAUGGCACCGUUUUGGAGAAAAUCCUUUGACCCACGAGAACCUGUGGAGAUUCACGUGUAACCUGACUUGGACUCUGACUCAACCCAUAAUGUAGGUUUUCCUUUUUUUUGGUUGAUUUUCUACUUUGAUUUUUUUAAUAUCUUAUUUUAGUUUUUUGUUUUUUAUAUAUUAUUUUUAUUUUUAUAUUUUUAUAUUUAUUAUAAUUAUUUGAAUUAAUGUGGUGAGAAAAUAAAAAGAAAAAAUAGUUAUUUUUGCAUGAUUUUUUUUAUAACUAAUUGCAUGUUUUUAUAUUUAUUGUGUGAUCUAUUAAAUAUACUUUGUAUAACUACAUGAUUAUAUUUAAUUGUGUGAUAAAUAAUAUUAUUGCAUCAUAGUUUAUUAUUAUUGCAUGAUAUAUAAUAUUAUUAUUACAUGAUAUAUUUACAUGAUAAUUUUUCUUUAUUUUAACUGAUUUUUUAAAAAAAAUUAAAAAAAAGGGUUUUCAAAAAAAAUAUUUUUUAAUCUUACCAAACUAUUUGAGGAUUUAAGUCUUGAAUUAAGUUUUAUUAAACUAUUAGAAGCCUUAAUGAAUUUAAAAAAUAUAUUUUUUAAAAUCCUACCAACAUAUUAUAGGAUAAUUUUUGAUGAAAAAUCUUACCAACUUAUUGAAAGAUAUUUAUGAGAAUAAAUUGUUUUCACAAAUAAAAGUUUUUUACAACAAAAAAAUUAAACGAAUCCAAUGACAGAGCCUCUUCAAAGUGGUACACUAAUCUCCAUAAAUACUAUUGAUGUGAGAAAAUUAUCUUAAAUUAUUACCAAACUAUUGGAGUAAUUUUAAGAUCAAUUUUUAGUAAUUAAAUUAUUUGACAAAAUUACAAAGAGAAUUUAUGGUUUUGAUAAUUUGAAAUUAAAUUAGUAACAUCCUUUGGAUGGGCGUUGUGAGGGUGCUAUAAUCUUCCUUACGUAUAAUUAUACCCUCAAACCUAAAAUCUAGUUUCAUAAACUAGAAUCUAACUUUUAAAAAUACCUGAAUCAAGUUUAGAACUUCUCUUUAAAAUUAGACAGAUUCAGUUAGGUGAUCAAUCACACCUAAACAAAAAAAAAUUGAUGAGAACUCCUAAAAUCUCUGUCUGACAAUAAAUCCAAGAAUUUAUAUGUUAUAACAGUAUGGAACAUAUAAAAAUCAUUUAGCUCCGUUUGAUUAGUGCUUUUAUUUUUUCACUUUUUGCUAUUUGUCUUUUAUUUUCAAUUUAUUUUAUAUUUCAUAAGUUUGACUGGCUGUUCUAUAUAUAAUUAACAGAAAGACCAGUCAAUGCUGUUAGUAAUUCUGCUAUACCCUUGUUCAUAUAACACAUUGCUCAGAAUUUCAAAGUGUAGGCACCUGAUGGAAUAUUUUCCUUUUUUAAGUUUUAAGGAUCAUGUUGCUCGUUGACUAUUAGUGUAGGGGUCAUUUAUAGCUUCAUUUCUUUUAUUAUCACAUGAAAACCUACAAGCAUGGUGGCUGUAAAGUGUCAAUAAAUUACUUAAAUCCUACCGAGUCGCAGUCUGCUCAAUCUUUAUUAUCAACACUUGGUAUGGAACAUGUAAAAAUCAUUUAGCUCCAUUUGAUUAGUGCUUUUGUUUUUUUACUUUUUGUUAUUUGUCUUUUAUCUUUUUUUUUUUUUUUGCCUUUUUACUUUGUAUUGAAGAAAAUAAAAAAGCAAAUAACAAAAGCGUAAAUCAAAGGCAGCCUUAAAUUGGAAGUGCUAAAAUACUUGGUGGAAGUAAAAUGAUUGUUUUCAAUCUUUGUCAGCAUUGAACUAACUCUAUUGACAUAAUCUUCAUUCCUCUACUGCUAAUUUAUUCUGUUUGCACCUUUUUUAUGUGCAGAGAAUACUGGAACACAAAAACACCUGGAACUUAUCAUUGCAUAUGCCGUGACAAGCCUCUUUUUGAGUAAGUCUUUUGAUUUUGUUAGGAAUUUCCAACUAAAAUCAAUUGAACCUAUAACAUUCCAAACAUUUAUCAAUGCAUGAUCCUGUCCUCCAGAUCAUUGACUAAAUUUGACAGAACUGGCUGGCCUUCAUAUUAUCAGCCUACAGGAAACAAUGUGAAGUCAAAAUUAGAUCUGUCCAUAAUUCUUAUUCCUCGCAAAGAAGUUCUGUGUGCUGUUUGCAAUGCUUAUCUUGACCAUGUCUUUUGUGAUGGUCCUCCGCCUACAGGAAAGCGUUACAGCAUAAAUAGGUACACAUUUUUUUUUAAUGCCGGGUUGUGUCUAAUCUUAUGCAAUUUAUUUUUUAUGGACUUCAUUUUAACUAUGAUUAUUUUGCAGCGAUCCCCUAAAACUGAAACCCAAGCAAGAAAUAGUAUUAAGCUUGCAGUUGCAAAGCACAGACGAGACACUUGCAAUUGAAAAAAAUGAAACAACAUUUUCACUGACUUUGGUGUAUGAUGUUCAAUUAAUUUGGUGUGAUAGAAAUCCUUGUAAUUUUGUAGUAUUCAUGUAAGCCUGAUGGCGCAAAGGCAUGAUAAAAUCCUUGCAACAAGUUAUUGGCAUAUAAAACCCUUAAAAAAUACAUAUGAAGUUGUAUAAAACAAGUUAAAGAUUAUUUUAUUUUAUUUUAUUAAUAUCUUGAAGAUAAAACAUCUUGUUCAAGGUUGAGCCAAGUAAUAUAUAAGAAAGAAUUUAUAAUUAAUAAUACAUUAAUUUAGUCAGAAUAACACAUUAAAUUAAACAUAUAAUUGAGAACAAUAUUGUAGCUAACUUUAAUCCUUGCUUAUAGGUAUCCGUUAUUCAAACUUUUAGGGAAGAAAUGUUACAUGAUAUAAACAAAUGAUUACAUAAAAAAAAGAGAGAUAUUUGCUGAUGAGUACAAUAAAAACAUUUGUUAAUAAAAUUUUACUAACGAGUCUUUUUAUAUAUUUAUAAAAUUAGAUAACAUAUUAUUUAUAAUAUUUUUUAUGUUAUAUAUAAUAAUUAUUGUGAUAAUUUUAAUGUAUCUGAAAAAAUAUUUUCGUACCACGGGAAUAUUAAAGAAUGACCUAAACAAUGGUUUGGCAAAAUCCUAAGUACUGAAAUAACUUCAAAAAUGUUAUAAGCUGUGAUGAUUAAAUGUAAAAUACAAAUAUAUAAACUUUUUAAAAAUUUUUUAGGUUAAAAUAAUAAAAGUUCAUAAAUUUUAUUUCUUUAUUUAAAUAAACUUUUUUUAUUUUUAUUGAACUUAAAUAAUUUUUUUUUAUUUUACAUUCGAAUAAACUUUUAAAUUUUAAGUUUAUCUAAAUAUAUAUUUAUCAUCUAAUUUGUAUUUAAAUGUAUUAUUUAAAUACAAUAAAAAUAUAAAAUGUUAUCUAAAUAAAAUAAUAAAAUUCAAAAACCCUUUUAAUAUUUUAGUCAAAAUUUAAAUGACAUUUAUUACUAUCAUAAUAUUUUUGUAGUAGCAAAUUUCUUGAGACCGAAAGAAAAUAUUAAAUAAAAGAAAAAGAAAAAUCAAAUGAAAAACGCAAUAGAUGAGCGAAAAUUUCAAUGUAUGUUUGAUGGCGCAUGCAAUUGUAUAACCGCAACAUCUUUCUUGUCAGAAAACAAAAGUGUCGGUAAUACAUAUUUAGAAAAAUAAAAAACUAAUUUUUAUGGAUCCUGUGAUGUAAGCAAUGACAUAUAAUCUCAGUAUCCUUUUAUGGUAAAAGAAAGUCCUAGAAGAAAUCUUUAUAGAAAGUCCGCCAACUUCCCUAAACUAAUUUUUAUGGAUCCUGUGACAUAAGAAAUUACAUAUAGUCUGAGCAUUCCUUUAUGGUAAUAGAAGGCCCUCGAAGCACCAACGCUCCUAAAUUUUUUUGUCUAUAAAUACAUUUUGACAAACUCUUUUUCAUCGAAAACCAAAACCAAAACCAAAACAAAACCAAGGGUCUUUUUGAAGUCUUUUUAAAUUUUGAGUUCAAUUUCAAAUCUUUGAUUGUUUAGUUUAUCAAAAUGUCGGAGGAAGUAGUCUUGUUGGAUUUCUGGCCAAGUCCAUUUGGAAUGAGAAUGAGGAUUGCUUUGGCUGAGAAAGGGAUAAAAUAUGAGUCAAAGGAAGAAGAUUUGAGGAACAAGAGUGAUUUGCUUUUGCAGAUGAAUCCUAUUCACCAAAAAAUCCCUGUUCUUAUCCAUAAUGGUAAACCUGUUUGUGAGUCACUCAUCCAGGUUCAGUACAUUGAUGAGGUUUGGCAUCAUAAAUCUCCUUUGCUUCCUUCUGAUCCUUACCAGAGAGCUAUUGCUAGAUUCUGGGCUGAUUUUGCUGACAAGAAGGUACUUUCGUUUUUUACUUUUUUCUACUUUUUCUAAGUCUAAGUUUUCUUUGAUUUAGUCAGACUGACUUUGAAUUUUGGAGGGUUUUCUUUUUAUUUAUAAACCAGCAGUCUACUAAUUAAGAAUUGACUGCUAAUGCUAGUGUGAUAACUUUAAUCAAUAGACUGUUUUGAUUUGAGAUACUUUUGAGUUUCAAUUUUUUUUCUUUUUUUUGGGGUAAUUUUGAUAAUUAGAUGCCUAAUCAAGUCAAGUUGUGGUGAAUAGUAUAUUUUGGUAUAAUUGAUAUUGAAUCAAGCAGUGAGAGAUAACAUUGUUUAAUAAAAAUGCAGAUGUCUGACCUUGGGAGGAAAAUAUGGGCAACUAAGGGAGAAGAACAGGCAAAUGCAAAGAAAGAAUUUAUUGAGAGCCUGAAGCUGUUGGAAGGAGAGCUUGGAGACAAGCCUUACUUUGGUGGAGAAAAUCUUGGUUAUGUAGAUGUUGUCUUUGUCCCAUUUUACAGCUGGUUUUAUGCCUAUGAGAUGUGUGGUGACUUCAGCAUUGACGCAGAGUGCCCCAAACUGAUGGCAUGGGCUAAAAGGUGUCUGGAAAAGGAGAGUGUAUCCGAGUCUCUUCCUGACCAAGAAAAAGUCUAUGGCUUUGUUUUGCAAAUGAAGAAAGCCUUUGGAAUUGAGUGAAAUUGUGGAGGGGCUACUUUUAGUUUUCAUGUUUUAUGGUUGGUUUGAAUAAAUGGGCAUUUAGUUGUGCCUCGUUGUUUUGUGUUGUUAGGGUGAAUGUUUUCUUUUCUUUUUUUUUUUUUCCUGUUCUGAAAGAUAGUCAGAGCACUUAGAUUUGGUUGUGAUUCUGAUUUGAAAUUUGAAGUUAUUAAAAAGUAAUACGUUUCCUAAAUAUGUUUUACCUGGUAUUUUUUGUGCACAUAUUCUUUUUAAUUUCAGUUUUUUUUUAUCAAUUUGGCAACUUGGCUAUCCAUGUGGAUCGCAAAAAUUUCUGGUCUACUAUGACAAGAAUAGGAUAAAUUAUCAUUGAUGUCAAUUUUUUUUUAUUGUAAGAAUGUUUUCCUAAUUUCAACGAAAAAAUUGCAAGCCAUCUCUUUGUGAUUUUGUUUUAAAGCAUACUCAACUAAAUUUUGCUGAGUAAUGUAUAAGUCAAAAUCAAUUUCAAUUGAUGCUAAAAUUUGGACCUAAUUAACCAUUGCAAGGUUUUUCAAUAAAAAAUUACUUUUUGGUUUUUUUUUUUUUAUCUCUUUAAAUUCUAAUGUGAUGUAAUCAUCAUAUCAAUGUAUUAAGUAAUAAAUAGUUUAAGAAUUUUACAUAACAAUGCUCUUAGAUUGUUGAUAAUAAUCAUAUAUUAUUUUAUAUGAUGAUUAGAUUUUCAUCCAAAAACGUAAAAAAAAAUUUUAUCAAUGAGAGUUAUUUUUCAAAUCAUUUUAAAAUAAAUUAAAUUUCUGAUUGGUAUCCAUCAAAAUAUGUCUCUUUUUUUAUAAAUAAAAUUUCACUUUUUAAUCAUUUUAUACAAGACAAUUUAUAUGAUUUUAAAUACGAACAUGUUAAUAAUUUUGAAUCAUACUCAUGAGAACUUGUUCAUACCUUAUAUCUUUUGUAGAACAAUGAUUCUUAUUUUAUAAUUUUUUUUUCAUUCAAUAAAAAAUUAAAAACGUUGGUUUCUUUUAAAUAACCUUAAUAAUAAUAAUAAGGUUAUUUUGAAAUUUUUUUUAUUUUCAAUGAUUUUUUUAUGCAAUAUAAAGAAAUGAUUUAUAAUAUUAUAUUAAUCAUGAUGAUCUAAAAUCAUUACUCAUCAAAUUAUUUUAAUAAUUUUAUAAUCACGAUAAUUAGAUCACUACAAUUAUUUUAAAAGUGAUAAAAAAAAAAAAACUAUUCUUCAACUUUAACUUUCUCAUGAUUUUUUGAGGUUUAAUAUGUUUGGUGUGAUAAUGGGCUCUUAAGCCCAAAAAAAUUAGAUUUAAAGGCGAUGGAUAAGCCUACGAAUUAGUGCUAUUUUCAUUGAAUCGUUUUUGUCUUAAAUUUUGUAUUUCCUCACAUGAUAUAUAUAUAUAUAUAUAUAGUUAUUGAAUGAAUUCACAAAUGAUCUAUUAAUUCAUGAGUGAGUAAAUUAAUUCAUAAAUGAAAUAUUAUAAUUAUAAUUAAAAUAAUUAUUGUAUGCUAUAUUAGGGAAUACAAAUAUUUUUUGGGUAACUUGGCUGUCCAUAUGGACCGCAAAUUUCUAGCCAAAUUUGACAAGAACAGGAUGAAUUAUCGUUGAUGUCAUUUUUUUUCUAUUGUAAUUAAGAAUGUUUUCCUAAUUUCAACUAAAAAAAUUGCAAGCCACGUCUUUGUAAUUUUGUUUUAAUGAAUACUUAAUUAAAUUUUGAGGGGAUAGUAGAAAUCAAAAUAAUUUUGAAUAGAUGUCUAACUUUGGACCUAAUUAACCAUUGCAAGGUUUUUCAAUAAAAAGUUUACAUCUUGGUUUUUUUUUUAAAUGUUUUAGAAUAUCUUUAACAUCGAAAGUGAUGUAAUGAUUAUAUAACUGUAUUUAAGUAAUAAACAAUUUCAUAAUCUUACAUGAUAGUAAUUUUAAAUUAUUGAUAAUAAUUAAAUAUUCUUUUAUAUAAUAAUUUAAUUUUCAUAUAAAAAAUAUAAGAAAAUUUUAUCAUUGAGAGUGAGAAUGAUUUUUAAAAUCAUUUUAAGAUAAAUUUAUUUUCAAAUUGGUAUCCAUCAAAAUAUGUUUCUCUUUAAAUUUUUUUAAAAAACAAACUUUCACUUUUUUAAAUCAUUUUGUACAAGAUAAUUUAUAUGACUUUAAAUAUGAACAUUAUAAUAAUUUUGAAUUAUACUCAUAAGAACUUAUUCAUACCCUAUAAUUUUUUUUUUCUAAAUGGUAUAAAAAGCCCUUUGAACUAUAAUUAAAAUAUCAUUCCAGCUUUUAUUUUUUUAUUGUAACCAAUCAAUUCUUUCAACAUUUACAUGCAUCCAAUUAAAUUUUAUUUGGAUGAAAAUGUUUCCUUAAUUUUUUUUUGUCAACUAAUAUAAAAUUUCUUGUGAAAUCUAUAAAAUAGAUGAAAGUUUAUCACGUAAUAUAAUUAAUAUUUAAAAAUUAAAUAAAAUAAGCUUUUCUUUUUUUUCUCUCUCUAUUUUCUUUGUUUCCUUUUCUCUAAGAUCUCUAUAAAGAAUUAAUUGACUAAAUUUUAUUACAUAAUUAGAUUUUAUUCAUUUAAAAAUUUAUCUUUUUAUUGAGUCAGUAAAAAGUUUCAGUUCAAAGUUAAUCCCAGCCGAUAUUUAGGAUUUCUAUCAACACCUUUACUUGGCGUGGAUGUUCCAUAAAGAAGCGUGGAGUUAAGGAUGCAUAUGUUAAGCAUCUUUGGUUUUGGGUAUGUAGAGUAUUUAUUUUAUUGAUAGGGUUUUCUAUGCUUAUGGAUGUUUUGGAUAUUGAAAAUAUUUUUUUUGUUAGGGAAUAUUGACUCAAAUAUCAUAAACGAUUUAUUUGGAAUUAAAUUAACUAAAUAUUACUUGAUGAAUAAAAAUAUUUGCAAGAGAAGAAUUUUAAGAGAAAAUAUAUUUUUAAUAGACAAGUUUAUAUGCUUAUAAAUAAAUAAAAUUUCUAUUAGGUUAAGUAUGAGAAAAAAUAUAAGAGAGCUAUAGGGUUUAUGGGAUAAACACUCCCUAAGACUAUUGAAAAUUUACGAAAGAGACUGAAAAAGUUUACAUAGGUAUAGUGCCUUGGUGCAUAUAGAUAUGCGUUUAUUUGGAUUAAGAAUACUCCGUGUAAAUUGUUUGCUUUUGUAUCCAACACAUUCUUUGGACAUUUUGGAAGCAAAAGUUAAGGACCAAAAGUGGUGGUGAAAGGAGCCAAAUUUGUUUUUGGCCUUCCAAAAGUUUUCUCUUUUAGCAAGGGAUCUAUUUACAAUGCAAUUUCGGAGAUGUCUUCUGGUGUCAUGUAGCCGUGAACAUAUAGUCAUUGUAUAAAGUGGCCUCUGAACUCAAAACUUGUUCAAUUAUGUAUCUAAAUCUUAAAAAUUGUGUGCAUUUUGGUCGGAUAACUGAUAGAAUUGAUUAAUGUGCUAAGUAGAUAGAUGGGUUUGUUAACUAUAGAACAGUACAAAGUAUAUUUUAUUAAACACUAUGUGUAAGCAUUUUGAUGGCAUGUGAUGCCCAUGUGGACUGGAAACUUGCCUGGAUUAUAACACAUAUCUCACUUGCCUGAUGGAUAUAUUCAUGCAAUAAAAUAACUGCUUGAGAUCUAGUUUAUUGCAAACUGCAACAUACCUGACACCUUGUGUGAAAUUUCUUUUUUUCUCUAACAAGUUUGACUAGCUGUUCUACAUAUAAUUAACAGAAAGGCAGGUCAAUGCCGCUAGAAUUGAAAGUGUAGGCACCGGAUGGAAUACUUCCUUUUUUCAGUUUUAAGGAUCAUGUUACUCGUUGAUUAUUGGUGUAGGGGUCAUUUAUAGCGUCAUUUCUUUUAUUAUCACAUGAAAUCCCACCAGUAUGGUGGCUGUAAAGUGUCAAUAAAUUACCUAAAUCCUGCCGAGUCACAAUCUAAUCAAUCUGCAUUAUCAACACUUGGUACGGAACAUGUAAAAAUCAUUUAGCUCCAUUUGAUUAGUGCUUUUGUUUUUUUUACUUUUUCUAUUUGUUUUUUUAUUUUCAGUAUUGUUUUUUUUUCUUUCUCAUUUUGUAUUGAAGAAAAUAAAAAGCAAAUAACAAAAGCGUAAAUAAAAGGCAGCCUUAAAUUGGAAGUGCUAAAAUACUUGGUGGACGUAAAAUGAUUGUUUUCAAUCUUUGUCUGCAUUGAACUAACUGCUAUUGAUAUAAUCUUCAGUCCUCUACUGCUAAUUUAUUCUGUUUGCACCUUUUGAAUGUGCAGAGAAUACUGGAACACAAAAACACCUGCAACUUAUCAUUGCAUAUGCCGUGACAAGCCUCUUUUUAAGUAAGUCUUUGAUUUUGUUAGGAAUUUCCAACUAAAAUCAAUUGAACCUACAACAUUCCAAACAUUUAUCAAUACAUGAUCCUCUCCUCCAGAUCAUCGACUAAAUUUGACAGAACUGGCUGGCCUUCAUAUUAUCAGCCUAUAGGAAACAAUGUGAAGUCAAAAUUAGAUCUGUCCAUAAUUCUUAUGCCUCGCGAAGAAGUUCUGUGUGCUGCUUGCAAUGCUCAUCUUGACCAUGUCUUUUAUGAUGGUCCUCCACCUACAGGAAAGCGUUAAAGCAUAAAUAGGUAAAACAUUUUCUUUUAAUGCCGGGUUGUGUCUAAUCUUAUGCAAUUUAUUCUUUAUGGACUUCAUUUGAGCUAUGGUUAUUUUGCAGCGAUCCCCUAAAACUGAAACCCAAGUAAGAAAUAGUAUUAAGCUUGCAGUCGCAAAGCACAGACGAGACACUUGUGAUUGAAAAAAAUGAAAUAAUAUUUUCACUGAAUUUGGUGUAUGAUGUUCAACUAAUUUCAUGUGACAGCAAAUCCAUGUAAUUUUGUAGUAUUCAUGUAAGCCUGAUGGCACAAAGGCAUGAUAAAAUCCUUGCAACAAGUUAUUGGUAGUAUAAAACCCUUAAAAAAUGCAUAUGAAGUUGUAUAAAACAAAUUAAAGAUUAUUUUAUUUUAUUAAUAUCUUGAAGAUAAAACACCUUGUUCAAGGUUGAGCCAGUAAUAUAUCAGAAAAAAUUUAUAAUUAAUAAUACAUUAAUUUAGUAAGAAUAACACAUUAAAUUAAAUAUAUAAUUGAGAACAAUAUUGUACCUAACUUCAAUCUUUACUUAUAGGCAUCCGUUACUCAAACUUAGGGAAGAAAUGUUACAUGAUAUAAACAAAUGAUUACAUAAUAAAAAGAGAGAUAUUUGCUGAUGAGUACAAUAAAAACAUUUUUUAAUAAAAUUUUACUAACGAGUCUUUUAUAUAUUUAUAAAAUUACAUAACAUAUUAUUUAUAGUAUUUUUUAUGUUAUAUAUAAUAAUUAUUGUGAUAAUUUUAAUGUAUCUGAAAAAAUAUUUUCGUACCACGGGAAUAUUAGAAUGACCUAAACAAUGGUUUGGCAAAAUCCUAAGUACUGAAAUAACUUCAAAAAUGUUAUAAGCUGUGAUGAUUAAAUGUAAAAUACAAAUAUAUAAACUUUUUAAAAAAUUUUUAGGUUAAAAUAAUACAAGUUCAUAAAUUUUAUUUCUUUAUUUAAAUAAACUUUUUUUUAUUUUUAUUGAACUUAAAUAAUUUUUUUUUAUUUUACAUUCAAAUAAACUUUUAAAUUUUAAGUUUAUCUAAAUAUAUAUUUAUCAUCUAAUUUGUAUUUAAAUGUAUUAUUUAAAUACACUAAAAAUAUAAAAUGUUAUCUAAAUAAAAUAAUAAAAUUCAAAAACCCUUUUAAUAUUUUAGUCAAAAUUUAAAUGACAUUUAUUACUAUCAUAAUAUUUUUGUAGUAGCAAAUUUCUUGAGACCGAAAAAAAAAAUAAAAGAAAAAGAAAAAUCAAAUGAAAAACACAAUAGAUGAGCGAAAAUUUCUGUGUAUGUUUGAUGGCGCAUGCAAUUGCAUAACAGCAACAUCGUUUCUUGUCAGAAAACGAAAGUGUCAGUAAUACAUAUUUAGAAAAAUAAAAAACUAAUUUUUAUGGAUCCUGUGAUGUAAGCAAUGGCAUAUAAUCUGUGUAUCCUUUUGUAGUAAAAGAAAGUCCACCAACUUCCCUAAACUAAUUUUUGUAGAUCCCGUGACAUAAGCAAUUACAUAUAGUUUGAGUAUUCUUUUAUCGUAAUAGAAGGCCCUCGAAGCACCAACGCUCCUAAAUUUUUUUGUAUAUAAAUACACUUUGACAAACCCUUUUUCAUCGAAAACCAAAACCAAAACCAAAACAAAACCAAGGGUUUUUUUUUAAGUCUUCUUAAAUUUUUAGUUGAGUUUCAAAUCUGUGAUUGUUUAGUUUAUCAAAAUGUCGGAGGAAGUAGUUGUGUUGGAUUUCUGGCCAAGUCCAUUUGGAAUGAGAAUGAGGAUUGCUUUGGCUGAGAAAGGGAUAAAAUAUGAGUCAAAGGAAGAAGAUUUGAGGAACAAGAGUGAUUUGCUUUUGCAGAUGAAUCCUAUUCACCAAAAAAUCCCUGUUCUUAUCCAUAAUGGUAAACCUGUUUGUGAGUCACUCAUCCAGGUUCAGUACAUUGAUGAGGUUUGGCGUCAUAAAUCUCCUUUGCUUCCUUCUGAUCCUUACCAGAGAGCUAUUGCUAGAUUCUGGGCUGAUUUUGUUGACAAGAAGGUACUUUCGUUUUUUACUUUUUUCUAAGUUUUCAUUGAUUUAGUCAGACUGACUUUGAAUUUUGGAGGGUUUUCUUUUUAUAUAUAAACAAACAGUCUACUAAUUAAGCAUUGACUGCUAAUGCUAGUGUGAUAACUUUAAUCAAUAGACUGUUUUGAUUUGAGAUACUUUUGAGUUUCAAUUUUUUUUCUUUUUUUUGGGGUAAUUUUGAUAAUUAGAUGCCUAAUCAAGUCAAGUUGUGGUGAAUAGUAUAUUUUGGUAUAAUUGAUAUUGAAUCAAGCAGUGAGAGAUAACAUUGUUUAAUAAAAAUGCAGAUGCCUGACCUUGGGAGGAAAAUAUGGGCAACUAAGGGAGAAGAACAGGCAAAUGCAAAGAAAGAAUUUAUUGAGAGCCUGAAGCUGUUGGAAGGAGAGCUUGGAGACAAGCCUUACUUUGGUGGAGAAAAUCUUGGUUAUGUAGAUGUUGUCUUGGUCCCAUUUUACAGCUGGUUUUAUGCCUAUGAGAAGUGUGGUGACUUCAGCAUUGAAGCAGAGUGCCCCAAACUGAUCGCAUGGGCUAAAAGGUGUCUGGAAAUGGAGAGUGUAUCCGAAUCUCUUCCUGACCAAGAAAAAGUCUAUGGCUUUGUUUUGCAAAUGAAGAAAGCCUUUGGAAUUGAGUGAAAUUGUGGAGGGGCUACUUUUAGUUUUCAUGUUUUAUGGUUGGUUUGAAUAAAUGGGCAUUUAGUUGUGCCUCGUUGUUUUGUGUUGUUGGGGUGAAUGUAUUCUUUUCUUUUUUUUUUUUCCUGUUCUGAAAGAUAAUCUUACAUGAUAGUGAUUUUAAAUUAUUGAUAAUAAUUAAAUAUUCUUUUGUAUAAUAAUCUAAUUUUCAUAUAAAAAAUAUGAGAAAAUUUUAUCAUUGAGAGAGAGAAUGAAAUUUAAAAUCAUUUUAAGAUAAAUUUAUUUUCAAAUUGGUAUCCAUCAUAAUAUGUUUCUCCUUAAAUUUUUUUAAAAAACAAACUUUCAGCUUUUAAAUCAUUUUAUACAAAAUAAUUUAUAUGACUUUAAAUAUGAACAUGUUUAUAAUUUUGAAUUAUACUCAUAAGAACUUAUUCAUACCUUAUAAAAUUUUUUUCUAAAGGGUAUAAAAAGCCCUUUGAACUAUAAUUAAAAUAUCAUUUUAGCUUUUAUUUUUUAUUAUAAUCAAUCAAUUCUUUCAACAUAGAUUUGCAUCCAAUUAAAUUUUAUUUGGAUGAAAAUGUUUCUUUAAAUUUUUUUGUCAACUAAAAUAAAAUUUCAUGUGAAAUCUAUAAAAUAGAUUAAAGUUUGUCACGUAAUAUAAUUAAUAUAUUUUAAAAUUAAAUAAAAUCAGCUUUUCUUUUUUUUUUUUCUCUCUAUUUUCUUUGUUUCCUUUUCUCUAAGAUCUCUAUAAAGAAUUAAUUGACUGUAAAUCAAAAAUUAAUUGACUAAAUUUUGUCGCAUAAUUAGAUUUCAUCCAUUUAAAAAUUCAAUUUUUAACUAAAUUAGUAAGUUAAUCCCAGCUGAUCUAUCAGCACCUUUACUUGGUGUGGAUUUUCCAUAAAGAAGCGUGGAGGUAUGGCUGCAUAUGUCAAGCAUCUUUGGUUUUGGGUGUGUAGUGUAUUUAUUAUAUUGAAUGGGUUUUUUUUAUGCCUGUGGAUGUUUUGGAAAUUGGAAAUAUUUUUUUUUGUUACGAAUAUUAACUCAAAUCUCAUAAAUGAUUUAUUUGGGAUUAACUAGAUAUUAUUUGAUAAAUACUUAUAACAGGAGAAUUUUAAAAGAAAAAAUAUUCUUGACAGGCAGAUUUAUAUGCUUAUAAAUAAGUAAAAUUUCUAUUGAGUUAAGUAUGAGAAAAAAAUAUAAGAGAGUUUAUGAGAUAGACACUCUAUAGGAUUGCUGGAGAUUUACGAAAGAGAUUAAGAGAGUCUACAUAGAUAUAGUGCAUUGAUGCACAUAGGUAUAUGUUUAUUUGGAUUAAAAAUACUCCAUAGACUAGAGAAGAUUAAAAGAGUUUAUGGGUAUUGAUUAUAAGUGCAUAUUUAUAUGUACAGUAUGAUUGUGAUUCUUCAUAACUAAUGAAUUUUUUUUCAUCCGUUAAUGUAGGUCGAUUAAGCCAAACUGCAUUAAAUUUAUAUUCUUGUGUGGUUGAUUGAUUAUUUGAUUUUGUUUUUGCUAGUGUGAAUAUUCAAUUUGAUUAGAUUGGGAUUUUUCGCCUAAGAAGUGAUAUUAGCAUUGUCAUAAUCCCAACAAGUAGUAUCAGAGUUGAAGGUUGAGACAUAUAAAAAGGUAAGCUCAGAGGAGCUCGAUUUAAGAGAAAAAUUUGAGUUUGUGUUUUGAGAAUUGAUAUAAAUGAAGCUAUGAGGCACAGAAGAGAAGAUAAUUGCAAGACUUCCAUUGUAGUUGGAGCUAAACAUGUCUAGUAUGAAGACUGAUGAUUUGAUAGAAUUUGAGUCAAAGUGGAGAUUAUUGAGAAUAGUGACUCAAAACUCAUAAGUGAUUUGUUUGGGAUUGAAUGUAUAUUACUUGAUGGAUAAAAAUACUUGCAAAAGAAGAAUUCUAAGAGAAAAUAGAUUCUUGAUAAGUAAGUUUGUAUAUUUAUAAAUAAGUGAAGUCUCUAUUGGGUGAGAUAUGAAAAAAAAAAGUUGUAGGGUUUAUAGGAUAAACACUUUAUAGAACUACUGAAAAUUCACAUCUUAUGGAUGUAUAUAUUUGAAUGUGUGUAAGUAGACUAAAAGAGACUGAAAGGAUCCACGUAAAUAUGAUAUAUACGUGCACAUUGGUACGUAUUUGUUUGGGUUGAGAAUACUCCGUGACUAGAAGAGAUUGAGAGGAUUUGAUGAAUGAUUAUUGAUAUGGAUUGUAUGAUUAUAAUUCUCUACAAUUAGUAGAUCUUUUUUUUCAUCUGUGAACAUAGGUUGACUAGAUCAAAUCAUGUUAAAUUAUUAUCUCUUGUGUGGUUGAUUUAUUAUUUGUUUGAUUUUGCUUCUCUUGACAUAAAUGUUCAAUUCAAUUGGAUUGGGGUUUUUCUCCUAAUAAGUAGUAUCAGAGUUAUUAAAAUUCUAACACUUUUAUUGUUUGGUUGAAAGAUAUAACGGUGGAGCUCGUGUUUGUGCUUUUUGAAUAGUACUAUGAGUUUGAAGUUCAUUAAAGCAUCUUCUUUUCCUACGUUUUUUUUUUUUUUUUGAAAAUAUAUUUUUAACAAUGAAACAGCUAAAACAACGUUAAAUCACCUUUUCUGGGGCUUGUUUGGAUGAAUAUAUAUUCUUCUUCUUUCCUGUCAAAACCCUGCACUAUUAUUUUUCCUUUAUUAUUAAAAAUCUGAAUCUGUUUUGCCUCAUGAUAUUUGAUUGUUUGUCCUGUGUAGCGACGGGUGGGGGUGUGGUUGACGUUGCUUCUUUAAGUGACGAAGAAUGGAAGAAGAAGCUUACACCUGAACAAUUUUACAUUACUCGACAAAAAGGGACUGAGAGAGCUUUCACUGGGUAUGUUCUUCUAUUCAUAGAAACUGUACUGCUUUUUCAGGUUCAACUUCUGAAAAUGCACUUUACUUUCUAAGAUAAUGGUUUUAAGUAUUUUCUAAGAAUUCCACUAGUCUGAGAGAUUAGUGUUUCUGCGUACUUUCUUUUCCGAGCUAUAAGAAUUUCUUCCUAGUACUAAUCUAUUUGACAGCCCCUUUUUUGGUACCCUGAAAGUUCGUUUUAGUUGUCCCCCCUAUGCAGGUGUCUUAAUUCAAAUAGAAAAUGUAUGCCAGAAUCUAAUUUCUCUUACUUUUCUCUCGUUUGAUGAAUGAUUUCAAUCUCUUAAUGAUGUGAAUCCUUCUUCUAUCCCUACAAAGUAGGUGGCAAAUACUAGUAUAUUGUGCAGACACAUGCAUGUGAGCAUUUUUCCUAUUGGCGGUGAAAAUAAAAUGGAGUACCAGAGAGUUUGUCUCUAAAUUUCAUCUCUUUUGAAUAUGAAGAUUACAUGGUAUGUAGCUGAGCUAACUUGGUUAGUAAGCUUCUUUUAACGUUUCUGGUGAUUCAUACUUUAAAAAGAAAUAGAGGGAGUCAGACUUCAUAAAAAUAUCAUGCAUGAGCCACCUCCCAAUUUCUGUUCAUACUUUAUUACGGUUUAUUUGGUUAUUACUUUUGAUAGUUACUUUUUAGAUAAAGUUCUAAAGUACAAACACAUAAUAUUAAGCAAAAUCAUAUUUCAUCAAAACAAAAGGGUAAGAUAUAAAACCAAUUCAAAAGUAAUAAAUUCAUACAAGAGCAAAAUCAAGCAUUUUUAUCCGUGAAAGUUGAAUUUUUAUUUUUUAAGCCUUCAGUAAAUUGUUUGCUUUUGUAUUCAACAAAUUUUUGGACAUUUUGCUUCUGGAAGCAAAAGUUAAGGACCAAAAGUGGUGGUGAAAGGAGCCAAAUUUGUUUUUGGCCUUCCAAAAGUUUCUCUUUUAGCAAGGGAUCUAUUUACAAUGCAAUUUAGGAGAUAUCAUCUGAUGUCAUGUAGCCGUGAACAUAUUGUCAUUGUAUAAAGCGGCCUCUGAAAUCAAAAUUGUUCAAUUCGGUAUCUAAAUCUUAAAAAUUGUGUGCAUUUUGGUUGGAUAACUGAUAGAAUUGAUUAAUGUGCUAAGUAGAUAGAUGGGUUUGUUAACUAUAGAACAGCACAAAGUAUAUUUUAUUAAACACUAUGUGUAGGCAUUUUAAUGGCAUGUGAUGCCCAUGUGGACUAGAAACUUGCCUGGAUUAUAACACAUAUCUCACAUGCCUGAUGGAUAUAUUCAUGCAAUAAAAUACCUGCUUGAGAUCCAGUUUGUUGCAAACUGCAACAUACCACCUGACACCUUGUGUGUAAUUUCAAUUUUCUCUAACAAGUUUGACUAGCUGUUCUAUAUAUAAUUAACAGAAAGACCAGUCAAUGCUGUUAGUAUUCAAAGUGUAGGCACCGGAUGGAAUAUUUUCCUUUUUCAGUUUUAAGGAUCAUGUAACUCGUUGAUUAUUAGUGUGGGGGUCAUUUAUAGCUUCAUUUCUUUUAUAAUCACAUGAAAACCUACCAGCAUGGUAGCUGUAAAGUGUCAAUAAAUUACCUAAAUCCUGCCGAGUCACAAUCUACUCCAUCUGCAUUAUCAACACUUGGUAUGGAACAUGUAAAAAUCAUUUAGCUCCAUUUGAUUGGUGCUUUUGUUUUUUUUACUUUUUGCUAUUUGUCUUUUAUUUUCGUUUUUUUUUUUUCCUUUUUCACUUUGUAUUGAAGAAAACAAAAAGCAAAUAACAAAAGCGUAAAUCAAAGCAGCUUUAAAUUUGAAGUGCUAAAAUACUUGGUGGACGUAAAAUGAUUGUUUUCAAUCUUUGUCUGCAUUGAACUAACUGCUAUUGAUAUAAUCUUCAUUCCUCUACUGCUAAUUUAUUCUGUUUGCACCUUUUUUAUGUGCAGAGAAUACUGGAACACAAAAACACCUGCAACUUAUCAUUGCAUAUGCCGUGACAAGCCUCUUUUUGAGUAAGUCUUUUGAUUUUGUUAGGAAUUUCCAACUAAAAUCAAUUGAACCUACAACAUUCCGAACAUUUAUCAAUACAUGAUCCUGUCCUCCAGAUCAUCGACUAAAUUUGACAGAACUGGUCGGCCUUCAUAUUAUCAGCCUAUAGGAAACAAUGUGAAGUCAAAAUUAGAUCUGUCCAUAAUUCUUAUGCCUCGCGAAGAAGUUCUGUGUGCUGCUUGCAAUGCUCGUCUUGAACAUGUCUUUUAUGAUGGUCCUCCACCUACAGGAAAGCAUUACAGCAUAAAUACGUAAAACAUUUUCUUUUAAUGCCGGGUUGUGUCUAAUCUUAUGCAAUUUAUUCUUUACGGACUUCAUUUGAACUAUGGCUAUUUUUCAGUGAUCCCCUGAAACUGAAACCCAAGUAAGAAAUAGUAUUAAACUUGCAUUUGCAAAGCACAGACGAGACACUUGUGAUUGAAAAAAAUGAAAAAACAUUUUCACUGACUUUGGUGUAUCAUGUUCAAUUAAUUAGGUGUGAUAACAAAUCCAUGUAAUUUUAUAGUAUUCAUGUAAGCCUGAUGGCGCAAAGGCAUGAUAAAAUCCUUGCAACAAGUUACUGAAAGUAUAAAACCCUUAAAAAAUGCAUUUCAAAUUGUAUAAAGCAAGUUAAAUAUUAUUUUAUUUUAUUAAUAUCUUGAAGAUAAAACAUCUUGUUCAAGAGGUUGAGCCAAGUAAUAUAUAAUAAAAAAUUUAUAAUUAAUAAUACAUUAAUUUAGUCAGAAUAACACAUUAAGUUAAACAUAUAAUUGAGAACAAUAUUGUAGCUAACUUUAAUCUUUGCUUAUAGGCAUCCGUUACUCAAACUUUUAGGGAAGAAAUGUUACAUGAUAUAAACAAAUGAUUACAUUAAAAAAAGAGUGAUAUUUGCUGAUGAGUACAAUAAAAACAUUUUUUAAUAAAAUUUCACUAACGAGUCCUUUUAUAUAUUUAUAAAAUUAGAUAACAUAUUAUUAUUUAUAAUAUUAUUUAUAUUAUAUCUAAUAAUUAUUGUGAUAAUUUUAAUGUAUCUAAAAAAAUAUUUUCGUAUCACGAGAAUAUUAAAGAAUGCCCUAAACAAUGGUUUAGCAAAAUCCUAACUGAAAUAACUUCAAAAAAUGUUAUAAGCUGUGAUGAUUAAAUGUAAAAUACAAAUAUAUAAACUUUUUAAAAAUUUUUAAGGUUCAAAUAAUAAAAAGUUCAUAAAUUUUAUUUCUUUAUUUAAAUAAACUUUUUUGUUUUUAUUGUACUUAAAUAUUUUUUUAUUUUUUAUUUUACAUUCAAAUAAAAUUUUAAAUUUUAAGUUUAUCUAAAUAUGUAUUUACCAUCUAAUUUGUAUUUAAAUAUAUUAUUUAAAUACAACAAAAAUAUAAAAUGUUAUCUAAAUAAAAUAAUAAAAUUCAAAAACCCUUUUAAUGUUUUAGUCAAAAUUUAACUGACAUAUAUUGCAAUCAUAAUGUUUUUGUAGUAGCAAAUUUCUUGAGACCGAAAGAAAAAAUUAAAUAAAAGAAAAUGAAAAAUGAAAUGAAAAACGUAAUAGAUGAGCGAAAUUUUGUGUAUAUGUUUGAUGGCGCAUGCAAUUGCGUAACAGCAACAUUGUUUCUAGUCAGAAAACAGAAGCGUCAGUAAUACAUAUUUAGAAAAAUAAAAAACUAAUUUUUAUGGAUCGUGUGACGUAAGCAAUGGCAUAUAAUCUCAGUAUCCUUUUUUAGUAAAAGAAACUCCUAGAAUAAAUCUUUAUAGAAAGUCCAUGAACUUCCCUAAACUAAUUUUUAUGGAUCCUGUGACGUAAGCAAUUGCAUAUAGUUUGAAUAUUCUUUUAUGGUAACAGAAGCCCUCGAAGCACCAACGCUCCUAAAUUUUUUUGUCUAUAAAUACACUUUGACAAACUCUUUUUCAUCGAAAACCAAAACCAAAACAAAACCACCGGUUUUUUUUUUUUGAAGUCUUUUUAAAUUUUGAGUUGAGUUUCAAUCUUUGAUUGUUUAGUUUAUCAAAAUGUCAGAGGAAGUAGUUUUGUUGGAUUUCUGGCCAAGUCCAUUUGGAAUGAGAAUGAGGAUUGCUUUGGCUGAGAAAGGGGUAAAAUACGAGUCAAAGGAAGAAGAUUUGAGGAACAAGAGUGAUUUGCUUUUGCAGAUGAAUCCUAUUCACAAAAAAAUCCCUGUUCUUAUCCAUAAUGGUAAACCUGUUUGUGAGUCACUCAUCCAGGUUCAGUAUAUUGAUGAGGUUUGGCAUCAUAAAUCUCCUUUGCUUCCUUCUGAUCCUUACCAAAGAGCUAUUGCCAGAUUCUGGGCUGAUUUUGUUGACAAGAAGGUACUUUUUUUUUGUUUUUUUACUUUUUUCUACUUUUUCUAAGUCUAAGUUUUCUUUGAUUUAGUCAGACUGACUUUGAAUUUUGGAGGGUUUUCUUUUUAUAUAUAAACAGUCUACUAAUUAAGCAUUGACUUAGAAAAAGUUGUGGUGAAUGUUAUUUUUUGGUAUAAUUGAUAUUGAAUCAAGCAGUGAGAGAUAACAUUCAUUCAUUUUCAUAAAUCUCAUCUCACCUGUAUAAACAUUUUCGUAAAUAAUAUAUAACGUGUUGUACCUAAAUUAUUGUUUAAUAAAAAUGCAGAUGCCUGACCUUGGGAGAAAAAUAUGGGCAACUAAGGGAGAAGAACAGGCAAAUGCAAAGAAAGAAUUUAUUGAGAGCCUGAAGCUGUUGGAAGGAGAGCUUGGAGACAAGCCUUACUUUGGUGGAGAAAAUCUUGGUUAUGUAGAUGUUGUCUUGGUCCCAUUUUACAGCUGGUUUUAUGCCUAUGAGAAGUGUGGUGACUUCAGCAUUGAAGCAGAGUGCCCCAAACUGCUUGCAUGGGCUAAAGGGUGUCUGGAAAAGGAGAGUGUAUCCAAGUCUCUUCCUGACCAAGAAAAAGUCUAUGGCUUUGUUUUGCAAAUGAAGAAAGUCUUUGGAAUUGAGUGAAAUUGUGGAGGGGUUUCAUGGUUGAUUUGAAUAAAUGGGCAUUUAGUAGUGCCUCGUUGUUUUGUGUUGUUGGGGUGAAUUUUUUUUUUUUUCCUGUUCUGAAAGAUAGUCAAAGCACUUAGAUUUGCAUGUGAUUCUGACUUGAAAUUUGAAGUUAUUAAAAAGAAAUACAUUUCCUAAAUGUUUUACCUGGUAUUUUUUGUGCACAUAUUCUUGUUAAUUUAAAUGUUUUUAUCAAUUUGGUAACCUGGCUGGUCUACUAUGACAAGAAUAGGAUGAAUUAUCAUUGAUGUCUUUUUUUUUUAUUGUAAGAAUGUUUUCCUAAUUUCAACUAAAAAAAUUGCAAGCCAUCUCUUUGUGAUUUUGUUUUAAAGCAUACUUAACUAAAUUUUGGAGAGGAUUGUAUAAGUCAAAAUCAUUUUCAAUUGAUGCCAAAAUUUG